ACCACAGCUUGUUCUCAGAUAGAGUCAGAACACAGCGAGCGGCUCACAGAGAUACAGCGUUCAUCAAGGAGGGAUGUGUGCUGCCGGUGUGCGGUGGGUGGCGUUAGUCCAGGAUCCCCCAGAUCUGUGGCCUUUCUGCAAAUCAGAGCCUUGUUUGUGUUUCCUCUGAUUGAGAACACAUUGGCCGGACCGGGGCGACUGGGGUCCGACUCUCCGGGGUCGUCCAGGCCCCUUCCUCUCCUCAGUAACCCUCCGCUGCCCUCAGAAGGGGGCGACCCGCGUGCCACCGAGACCAAACCUGGCAAGCAAACGCCCAACGGUCUUGGGUUACAACACAAUCUCUUCCUAAACCAUUAGUGAAGACGAGAAAGGAAUUCAACACAAACAGGACGCUGAAGUGCGAGACUCUACCAUCACAGUAUGAGGAGCGAUGUGAUCCACGCGCUCAGAGAAAGGCUGCGGCGGGUGGCUCUCGUGCAAAAGCUACUGAUAUCAACACUUUAGGUGCUAAUAUUAACACUUUAGACAUUAAUAUGGGUAAAUAAGGUAGAAAGUUGUACCUUUUGAAAGGGUUGCACCCCAGUGAGAGCGUUUGUGUAUUUUUUCUGAGUGUACAGAUUCAUCUUUGAAAUCAUUUUUGUGCAUUAUGCAUGAAAAUCAUGAAUGAAAUCUUGUUACUGUCUUAAAUGUUUCUUUUAGACAGUAACAAGAUUGAAGCAUGGAAGUCUGUUUCUGCCACAUGACAAUCAAUCAAUAAAGGUAACAGUGACAUUUUAUCUCUGACUUUUUUCUUGCAAUUCUGAGGGGGUUAAAUAAUCUGAAUUGUGAGAUAAACACUAUGAAUUGAAGGAAAAAGUCAGAAUUCUGAGAUAACCAUACACUGCAGUGAAGAGAUG
rnacentral:lncRNA from 1 species